AGUGAACGCUGGCGGUAGGCCUAACACAUGCGAGUCGAACGGCAGCACAGUAAGAGCUUGCUCUUACGGGUGGCGAGUGGCGGACGGGUGAGGAAUACAUCGGAAUCUACUUUUUCGUGGGGGAUAACGUAGGGAAACUUACGCUAAUACCGCAUACGACCUACGGGUGAAAGCAGGGGAUCUUCGGACCUUGCGCGAUUGAAUGAGCCGAUGUCGGAUUAGCUAGUUGGCGGGGUAAAGGCCCACCAAGGCGACGAUCCGUAGCUGGUCUGAGAGGAUGAUCAGCCACACUGGAACUGAGACACGGUCUAGACUCCUACGGGAGGCAGCAGUGGGGAAUAUUGGACAAUGGGCGCAAGCCUGAUCCAGCCAUACCGCGUGGGUGAAGAAGGCCUUCGGGUUGUAGAGCCCUUUUGUUGGGAAAGAAAAGCAGCAGGUUAAUACCCCGCUGUUCUGACGGUACCCAAAGAAUAAGCACCGGCUAACUUCGUG
rnacentral:rRNA from 1 species